UUGGUGAUUGUCUUUCCCAGCCUUCCCUGUGUCUCUAUUUAAGCCUCUGUGUUCCCCAAGCCCUUUGUCGGUUCACUUGUUGUGCUACUCGUUUCUACACGUCGUGAGAUAUGGUUUGUCUUGUCCUGCUGUCUCGACCAGCUCUCCCGUCCGGAGCUUCCUGGUUCUCCGUGCGCCUUGUGGCCAGUGUUACUUGUUAGUGUUCCUGUUUUGUUUUUGUCUUGUUUAAAGACUCUUUAUAUGUUAAAUACCUUUUUGUUUGUAACCUCUGCAUCCUGGGUCCAUCUCCUUUCUCAAACCGUGACACAAACAGGGUCAUCUCCAGAGAGCCAAGUCACACAAAAGAUGAGGAUGAAGCAGUCGACUCCAAAACGCUUCAAGCUGACACUAAGCAAAUGCCCAUAAUUCCCGGCCUUUCCAGUGGUUUGGGCACAAUGAUCUAUGCAGGCAGUAUCGGGACCCAAAUCGCCAAUGAGCUCAUCAACACCUACAGGAUGAACUCUUCUCCAUCAAGCGGAGCUUCCAGUCCGUUUGGCUCGGCCCAGGAGAAAUGUCCACUGGUUUCCCCUCAAACCAGCAGGAGUGCAUCCAGCAGAGAGGACACAGCAGGCAGUUUGUCCCUGUCCCAGUCCGACUCGAGGACGGCAGCGGGCACAGGCAGUGCAACGUCUGAAAGCACAGG